GACCGCCGACCAGUUCAGGGUGUAGCCCAACUCUCGCCCAAAGAUAGCUGGGAUAGGCUCCAGCACGCCCGUGACCCCAGUGAGGAUAAGUGGUACAGAAAAUGGAUGGAUGGAUUAUAGUCAUCAUAGCCUUGAGAAAAAAAUUUUUGGGAAGUGGGGUAGUGCACAAUAGGCCACUAUUACAUGGCCUUAGCUUUUGUCCUUCAUGGAAUUUGUUCCCUUUGCAUUACUUUUACUUUGAUACUAGAAAAACUAAAGAAACUUAAAGUAGUUUUGAACCCAUUACUUUUACACUUUUACUUGAGUAAAAAGAUACUUCAACUUCUACAUAAGUCUUCUUAAACCCUCAUAUCAAUACUAAUACUUGAGUAAUGAACGUGAAUACUUUUGACACCUAUGCAACGUAUUGUACGUCGUCAAUCAGCGAAAUUUCUAAUACUGCGUGAAAACGUGAAGAAUGCAGUCAUUUUGCUUGGAGGAAGACUGACCGGAAGAAAUCGAGCUGGCUGACGUCCGCACAACGGAUACCCAUUGAUUUAUUUUGAGAUAUAAAUUGCAUGUUCUUCUUGAGUCCUUAUAUUUUCCAAGUGCUGUCCUAGUAAAUAUAAUUUGGCCAGAGAGAGAGAGAGAGAGAGAGAGAGAGAGAGAGAGAGAGAGAGAGAGAGAGAGAACGCAGUGGACGUGGCACCUACGCUGCUCACUCGUCAAGCAGACAAAGCAGCUCAUGGUCAGUAUGGCAUACCAGACAGCAGCUGAGUCUGGGGCGGAUCAGACCUCGAGUCGCGAGAUCCUCAUAGCAAUCAAGUCCGCUGGACAGAUGCGUGCCAGCUGUGGGCCAGACCAUCAAACUGACAGUCGAAGUGAUUGGUAAGGGGCUGAUCGGAGCGGGUCCGCAGACCAAAUGCGUGAAAAAUUUCAAAUCUGUAACUGUCAAAAGUUGACGUCACCACCAGCGAACAAUUGAAAGUCGGGCACACGCGGGAAUCCAGGUCAUUUAGCAGGUAACCGCAGGCAGGUAGGAGGCAGAAACAGCAGGUGACCUACAUCAUCAAGAAGUGGCAAAUACCGAGAGUAAGUGCUUUAUUUAACACAAUGCUCGUGCUAUAAAAAGUUAUAGACAUGUUUUAGGGGUAACUUUCAUUCGGAGUAGCGUUUGUGCUCAGUUAUCUAAAAUGUUGGGGGAACGCUUAAAAGCAUUGGUCGCGUAAGCUAACAUGAAAGUAAAUACGCACAAAUUAACGUCCUUGCUAACAAUAAAGGUCGUCGUUCACAUAUGAUUCAAACCACGUGUCUGUUCUGUUUGGGAACAGUCAAUUUAAAUUUUAACGUAGUGCGUUAGCGUUGGCAGUAGCCCUUUAUUCAUCGCAUUAAGUUACUGAAAGCAAGUACGAGUUGGUUCAUUCAACAGGUAAAGCCAGGCAGGAGGUGCAGCACUUCACUUUUGGCGACACAGACAAUCGGGAAGCGGAAAAUAUUAAACGUGGUUUAUUUAAUACAAUGCUCCUGCUGUAAAAGUUUUUAACCAGUUUUUUACUUUCAUUCAAAGUAGUGUUUGGGCUCAUUUAUCUAAAAUGUUGAGCGUGCAAUUUAGCAUUGCAAGCAGCGAGAGAAAGUUAGCCAGACGUUUGAUAUUUGCCUGACCUUCGCCAUGAUUCAAACCACGUGUCUGUUCUGUUUGGGAACAGUCAACUUUAAUUUUAACGUAUUGCGUUAGCGUUGGCAUUAGCCCUUUGAUCGCCUACAAGUUACACGAUCAAGGCUUUUUCUCAGUCUGAUGCUGUAGUAGGUGGCAAUGGGAGUCCACUACUUACUACAGGUCAAACUGCUGAUAUCUUGCAUUUUAGUUAAACUGUGUGCAAAUUUUUUUUAAGUAAAAAUUAUUCACCAAAAAUCAAUAAAAACACUUUUUUUCCUCUUUCUGAUUGCUGUAGCACUUGGCAGUGGGAGUCGACUAUUUGCUACAGGUCAAACUUUGCUGAUAUCUUGCAUUUUGGUUAAACUAUGUGCAAUUAAUUAUCAGAAAUAUUCACCAAAAAUUUAUAAAAACACCCUCUCUCAUUCUGAUUGCUGUAGUAGGUGGUAAUGGGAGACCACUACUUCCUACAGGUAAAAGUUUGCGGAUGUAUUGCAUUUCGUUUGCAAUUAAUUGUCAAAAAUAUUCACCAAAAUUCAAUGAUCACCAAAAAUCAAUAAAAACAUGAUGCUUGUUGCGUCAUGCAAGACAUUUACUAACUCCACAAUUGCAGUUGCUAUUUUUUUGGGCAAUUUGUCAUCCAUCCAUUUUCUGAGCCGCUUUUCCUCACUAGGGUCACGGGCGUGCUGGAGCCUAUCCCAGCUAUCAUCGGGCAGGAGACGGGGUACACCCUGAACUGGUUGCCAGCCAAUCGCAGGGCACAUACAAACAAACAACCAUUCGUACUCACAUUCACACCUACAGGCAAUUUAGAGUCUCCAAUUCAUGCAUGUUUUUGGGAUGUGGGAGGAAACCGGAGUGCCCGGAGAAAACCCACGCAGGCACGGGGAGAACAUGCAAACUCCACACAGGCGGGGCCGGGGAUGGAACCCUGGUCCUCAGAACUGUAAGGCAGACGCUCUAACCAGUCGGUCACUGUGCCGCCGCAAUUUGUCAAUUACACAUAAGUAAUAGUAAUGGAAAAUAAACAAUCUAGGGGGGGUCCCGGGUAGGUGCCCGCUGGCCCCACUCCGGGGGCCUCGUCCUGGUCUCUGGGUGGAGGGCUGGGGUCGGUGCUGCUGAAUCCCGAGCCUGUGUCCUCCUCUUCCCUCUACCUGGGAUCCUCUGCUUGCUUGAGCUGUGUGGGGUCCCCGGCUGACUUGUGGCCGAUGUUAGGAUGUUGGCGCCUCCUGCUGGACAGGCCCGCCUUCUGUGCCCUGUUCUGGUCGCCGGGUGAUGGCCGGGGAGGGGGUUCUCUCUGGUCUUCCAGCUGGUCGGGCCGGCCCGCAGGAGUCUAGCCUCUUACGUCACACACAGCACAUAUUAUUAUUCACACUGUACAAUCACAUCUCCUUCAGGAGGGGGCUGGCACGAGACAUGAUGAGGCGGACACGGGGCCGGGUACUGGCACUUCUGUGCUUGUCUCCAGUUUGGUCGCCCCCCUUCUCUGCCCUGGCAGGUCUCCAGUUUUAAUGUAUCAUACACCAGUCAGUAGGGGGAGGGGAGUGUUCGGGCUGGGGAGGACACUCGGCCAGGCAUUCCGGCACUCCAGCAUGCUCUUUGGCCCACCAUGCCUUUUCCCUGCGGAUUUUUAAUGCACCACAUACAUUCGCACAUCCUUUGAGGAGCUGGUUGGCCUGGGUGGGAGUGACGGUUGUGGGUAUUCAUUGCCGUGUGACCGUCUCGUCUCACCCCCACCAGUCUCCCCAGUUUUAAUGCACGACACCCCACCACACACAAUCACAGUACAAGGUGAAGGUAAUAUAGAAUACUUUAUAAUAUUCUAAUAUGUAAUUAUAUAUGUAAUAUAAAGUUUCAUGGUGUAACUGGUUUCAUGGUGUAACUGGUUUGGAAAGCCCCCCCCCCCCCACCAGGCUGUAUGUGGAGACCAUAUAGAACAGAUGUCAAGGAAGAAAAGGACUGCGGGGAGCCACUAUAAACAUUAGAUGAAAGAAUGUGGGACGGCGUCUGGAGACGGCAUCUGGAGCCAGUGGCAAAUGGUCAUCAUUCUGCAGAGCAACGAUGAGGUCAGAUGAGACCAUGGACCAAUCAGACGACAGCGAUUCCAUACUUCCACUUUGAAACAUUGUAUAAGUCUGGGGUAGAAUCAGAUAGUUUUUUGUUCGACUACUCUAUCUGCUAAGGAUAAGAUAGGGAUAGUUACGAACCCAGAGCUCUGCAAAAUGUAUAGACUCCUCUGUCAGGAAUAAAUUGGUUGAUUUUUAAUA